rnacentral:lncRNA from 1 species
UGACUGUCUGAAGGUAACCCAGUACUGACUGUCUGAAGGUAACCCAGUACUGGCUGUCUGAAGGUAACCCAGUACAGACUGUCUGAAGGUGACCCAGUACAGGCUGUCUGAAGGUAACCCAGUACAGGCUGUCUGAAGGUAACCCAGUACAGGCUGUCUGAAGGUGACCCAGUACAGACUGUCUGAAGGUAACCCAGUACUGACUGUCUGAAGGUGACCCAGUACUGACUGUCUGAAGGUAACCCAGUACUGACUGUCUGAAGGUAACCCAGUACUGACUGUCUGAAGGUAACCCAGUACUGACUGUCUGAAGGUAACCCAGUAAUGACUGUCUGAAGGUAACCCAGAACUGACUGUCUGAAGGUAACCCAGUACUGGCUGUCUGAAGGUAACCCAAUACUGACUGUCUGAAGGUAACCCAGUACUGGCUGUCUGAAGGUAACCCAGUACUGGCUGUCUGAAGGUAACCCAGUACUGGCUGUCUGAAGGUAACCCAGUACUGGCUGUCUGAAGGUAACCCAGUACUGGCUGUCUGAAGGUAACUCAGUACUGGCUGUCUGAAGGUAACUCAGUACUGGCUGUCUGAAGGUAACCCAGUACUGGCUGUCUGAAGGUAACCCAGUACUGGCUGUCUGAAGGUAACCCAGUACUGGCUGUCUGAAGGUGACCCAGUACUGGCUGUCUGAAGGUGACCCAGUACUGACUGUCUGAAGGUGACCCAGUACUGACUGUCUGAAGGUGACCCAGUACUGACUGUCUGAAGGUGACCCAGUACUGACUGUCUGAAGGUAACCCAGUACUGGGCCGGAAAAUGAAUGGAAGUGAAUAGGUCAUUUCCACAUCAAAGGGUCAUUCCACUGUAAAACAAUUAUAAAUAAAUCCUGAGCUUUCUUACAGCGCUCAGAUAUAAGACAGACACCUCGAAACAUACUUUAAAAAAAAAAUGAAAUGUUGUUGACUAGCUGUUUGACCAUGUUUAGACACAUCUCAGAAUGUCCUCUCCUUUCGGGUGUCGUUAAAAAGGUCCUUGUUCGUUUGUUGAAUUUUCUCAGUCGAAUGAAAAAGCAUUUAGAAAUGUAUUCUAAACUCAGUGUAUUUUUUAAUUAUUGAUUACUAAUAAACAGUAUUUAGCG